rnacentral:rRNA from 1 species
UACGGAGGGUGCAAGCGUUAUCCGGAUUCACUGGGUUUAAAGGGUGCGUAGGUGGGUUGGUAAGUCAGUGGUGAAAUCCCCGAGCUUAACUUGGGAACUGCCAUUGAUACUAUUAAUCUUGAAUACCGUGGAGGUUAGCGGAAUAUGUCAUGUAGCGGUGAAAUGCUUAGAUAUGACAUAGAACACCAAUUGCGAAGGCAGCUGGCUACACGAAUAUUGACACUGAUGCACGAAAGCGUGGGGAUCAAACAGG